GACGAACGCUGGCGGCGUGCCUAAUACAUGCAAGUCGAACGAACCGCGACUAGGUGCUUGCACUUGGUCAAGGUGAGUGGCGAACGGGUGAGUAACACGUGGGUAACCUACCUCAUAGUGGGGGAUAACAGUCGGAAACGACUGCUAAUACCGCAUAGGACAUAGGAUCACGUGAUUCUGUGAGGAAAGGUGGCGCAAGCUAUCGCUAAGAGAUGGACCCGCGGUGCAUUAGCUAGUUGGUAGGGUAAAGGCCUACCAAGGCGAUGAUGCAUAGCCGACCUGAGAGGGUGAUCGGCCACAUUGGGACUGAGACACGGCCCAAACUCCUACGGGAGGCAGCAGUAGGGAAUCUUCCGCAAUGGACGCAAGUCUGACGGAGCAACGCCGCGUGAGUGAAGAAGGUCUUCGGAUCGUAAAGCUCUGUUGUUAGAGAAGAACAGCGCAUAGAGUAACUGUUAUGCGUGUGACGGUAUCUAACCAGAAAGCCACGGCUAACUACGUG
rnacentral:rRNA from 1 species